GACAGAGGUUGCAAACGUUGUUCGGAAUUACUGGGCAUAAAGCGCACGUAGGCGGUUCGUUAAGUCCUGUGUGAAAUCCCCCGGCUCAACUGGGGAACUGCACAGGAAACUAGCGGGCUUGAGUUCGGGAGAGGGAAGCGGAAUUCCGGGUGUAGCGGUGAAAUGCGUAGAUAUCAGGAGGAACACCAAUAGCGAAGGCAGCUCGCUGGGACGUUACUGACACUGAGGCGCGAAAGCUAGGGGAGCAAACGGG
rnacentral:rRNA from 1 species